rnacentral:rRNA from 1 species
GACGAACGCUGGCGGCGUGCUUAACACAUGCAAGUCGAACGGAAAGGCCCUGCUUUUGUCGGGUGCUCGAGUGGCGAACGUGUGAGUAACACGUGAGUCACCUGGCCUUGACUUUGUGAUAACUUCAGGAAACUGCGGCUAAUACCGGCUAGGAGCUCCUGCUGCAUGGUGGGGUUUGGAAAGUUUCGGUGGUUGGGGGUCGACUCGCGGGUUACUAGCUUGUUGGUGGGGUAGUGGCAUACGCACGCUUUCGCUGGUAGCCGGCCUGAGAGGGUGGCCGGCUUCAUGGGGACUGCGGGACGCCCCAGACUCCAACGUGGGGCAACAGUGGGGAAUAUUGCACAAUAGGCGGGAGCGUGAGACGACGGCGCCGCGUGCGGGAUGACGGCCUUCUGGGUGGAAACCGCUUUCAGCUGAGACGAAGCUUUAUUGACGGUAAUGAGUAAAGAAGCACCGGCUAACUACGUG